rnacentral:rRNA from 1 species
UACGAAGGGGGCUAGCGUUGUUCGGAUUUACUGGGCGUAAAGCGUGCGCAGGCGGCUUUGCAAGUCAGAUGUGAAAUCCCCGGGCUUAACCUGGGAACUGCAUUUGUGACUGCAUGGCUAGAGUGCGGCAGAGGGGGAUGGAAUUCCGCGUGUAGCAGUGAAAUGCGUAGAUAUGCGGAGGAACACCGAUGGCGAAGGCAAUCCCCUGGGCCUGCACUGACGCUCAUGCACGAAAGCGUGGGGAGCAAACAGG